UAUGAUAAACUAUUGAACACAUGAUGCAAGUUUGACUCAUUUUCUCCUUUUUUUCCCUUAAGGUGACCAGUCUGAUAGAGAAUACAUCAACCCUUGUGUUGCAGCUUGAAGAGCGUGUGGUCAGUCCUCGAGUCAUCCAGAUGAUACAUAUUAUGUACUUAACACCAUGUCUGUUUGUAUUUCCUUGUUAGUAUUCUGCCACAACCACUUACAGCUGUGUAACUACUGAGUCUGAAGUGAAAUACAUGCAUAAUGGAUAAUUAAAUAA